AUGGACCUCCCAUUCUCUGAGGAGGAGGUAUGGCAGGCAAUCAGGCAAACACCGACGGAUCGCGCUCCGGGACCUGAUGGUUUCUCGGGGAUCUUCUAUCGAAGCUGCUGGGCUACCAUCAAACAGGAUCUUCUUGAUGCUCUUAAUCAGUUCUACCACAUGAACUGCUCAAACUUAGGGAUACUGAACUCUGUAAAUGUAGUGCUUUUGCCCAAAUCUGACGAGGCCUCCGAAAUUGGACAGUUCAUACCAAUUAGCUUGGUGCAUUCCUUUGCAAAGCUCAUCGCCAAGAUUCUGUCCAUCAGACUUGCACCAAAAAUGGUCAACAUCAUAUCCCCUGCGCAGAGCGCCUUCCUAAAAAAUAGAUGCAUACACGACAGCUACCUUUUCGUCAGAAAUGCCGCCCGCAGUUUCCAUAGGAAGAAAAAGCAGAUGUUGCUGUUUAAGCUGGACAUUGCCAAGGCUUUUGAUUCGAUCUCGUGGGAGUACAUGCUGGAGCUGCUGCAAAAUUUAGGUUUCUCGGUCAGGUGGCGCAACUAG
rnacentral:rRNA from 1 species